rnacentral:rRNA from 1 species
UACGUAGGGGGCUAGCGUUGUCCGGAAUCAUUGGGCGUAAAGAGCGUGUAGGCGGCCCGGUAAGUCCGCUGUGAAAGUCGGGGGCUCAACCCUCGAAUGCCGGUGGAUACUGUCGGGCUAGAGUGCGGAAGAGGCGAGUGGAAUUCCUCGGUGUAGCGGUGAAAUGCGCAGAUAUCAGGAGGAACACCAAUUGCGAAGCAGCUCGCUGGGACGUAACUGACGCUGGAGACGCGAAAGCGUGGGGAGCAAACAGG